AGUAAGAGUUGUCCUCUGGUAUUGCAGAGCUAGAUGUUGCCUCCCAUCACUGACUGUUGGGGAGGGAGACCUCUAAAACAGCUAGCAAUAGAAAGGAACAAACAAAUUUUCCGUGGCACACGACGUUCAAGCCAAUUUAGUAUGAGCCGACGACCGGCAGGCUGGUGUCGAUACUAUUCAGAUAGGUACCGUCAAAUGGGGUAACAUUUAUCGGAAUGAUCCUCGUAGUAAUUCGUGAUUUUCCAACUUUUCGAAACAAUGGUCUACAUGAUUAUGGAUGACUCUAUGGGAGAUGCAUGCCUGACAUGAGUUCUGCAAAUGCUGGUUUUACUAAAUAUGUAAUCACUGAAUCCGUAACAAAAAAAAUUCAUAAGUAUGUUCAACUCAGCACAAUAAAUAAAUCAUUAGAUAAUAAUACAGACAAUCUUUAAGGAAUAACCUACCUUUAGGCGUAUUACGUGA